UAUUAUUAUUAUUAUUAUUAUUAUUAUUAUUAUUAUUAUUAUUAUUAUUAUUAUUAUUAUUAUUAUUUUGCCAAUGAAGACUUGUAGUUUGAAUCUUGAGAUUCAAUAAAAUCAAAAAAUCUAGUAUGCUCCCUGAGACAAUUUUCUACCCAAUAGUAGAUAUUGACGUUGAGUUGUGGCAAUGAAUGUACAGAAACUAAAAGGAGACACGAGGAUUUGAAGUGUGUCAUGGAGAGAGAUUUAGGAGAAAGAGAGAGAAAGAAAAGGCAGAACAGAGAAAUUGGAAUGGAGGAAUGUUGAGAGGAAAAUCCGAUUCAAUAGUUCACCCAUAACAAUCACCCAAUACAUGGUUUUUGAUAAAUCAGUAAUUUCCUAUUGGCUAACACUCCAUGGGGUUUUCAUGGAUCAACUUGUGCAAAUCAUAUAUGCUAAAUUCGACAUGGAAGUUUGUGUACUAAAUACGUCGGGAAAUUAUAUUACUUACUGUAAAAGUAGAUCCUAAAGUUUGAUGAAAACAAAUCCUCUUCUGCGCUUACCAUCCUCGUCGUUUCUGUAAUGCUGAGGUUUGAAUGUGGUAACUAUGUGCCUCAAUGAUAAAAGGUGAUGUAUGAUGGGAUUGAUAAUUGGGGAAGCGUCAAAUGGAAAUUUAGUAGGGAUGGCAACGGGGCGGAUCGGGAUCGGGGCAACCUCCCCCACCCCACCGGGUAAUUUUCCAUCCCAUUACCCAUUUAAGGCGGGGUGGGGGUAAGGACCUUGCUCCGUGUACUACCCAUUUAAUUUUUUUAAAGUUUUCUUUUAUUAUUAUUAUUUUUUUUAAAACCCCAUUUUUAAUAAAUAAAUUUAUUUUUAAAAGUUAAAUUAUUCAAAUAUAUUUGGUAAAUUAAGAUUAUUUGUCAUAUUCUUUAGAUAAUCUUAGAUGCUAUCUUAUAUUAGAACUAAUGAAAUUUUGUAGAGUUUUCCAUUUAAAGUAUUGAAUUCUUUAAUAAAAAAAAAAAAAAAAAAAAAAAA
rnacentral:lncRNA from 1 species